rnacentral:rRNA from 1 species
UAGUCGUCGGAAGCUAGUCAUUUCGGUGAUGCACUUAACAGAUUAAGUGUUCCGCCUGGGGAGUACGGUCGCAAGAUUAAAACUCAAAGGAAUAGACGGGGACCCGCACAAGUGGUGGAGCAUGUGGUUUAAUUCGAAGAUACGCGAAGAACCUUACCUAGCCUUGACAUUGAAGAAACACACUAGAGAUAGAGUGGUGCCCUUCGGGGAAUCUGAAAACAGGUGCUGCACGGCUGUCGUCAGCUCGUGUCGUGAGAUGUUGGGUUAAGUCCCGCAACGAGCGCAACCCUCGUCCUUAGUUGCCAGCAGGUUAAGCUGGGCACUUUAAGGAGACUGCCUUCGCAAGGAGGAGGAAGGUGAGGACGACGUCAAGUCAUCAUGGCCCUUAUGGCUAGGGCUACACACGUGCUACAAUGGGGCGUACAGAGAGUUGCGAUACCGCGAGGUGGAGCCAAUCUCAUAAAGCGUCUCUCAGUUCGGAUUGAAGUCUGCAACUCGACUUCAUGAAGCUGGAAUCACUAGUAAUCGUAGAUCAGCAAUGCUACGGUGAAUACGUUCCCGGGUCUUGUACUCACCGCCCGUCACACCAUGGGAGUUGAUUUCACCCGAAAUUGGGAAGCUAACCUUCGGGAGGCUACCACUUACGGUGGAAUUAGCGACUGGGGUGAAGUCGUAACAAGGUAGCCG